rnacentral:rRNA from 1 species
GAUGAACGCUGGCGGCGUGCCUAAUACAUGCAAGUCGAGCGAACGAACGAGAAGCUUGCUUCUCUGAUGUUAGCGGCGGACGGGUGAGUAACACGUGGAUAACCUACCUAUAAGACUUGGCUAACUUCGGGAAACCGGAGCUAAUACCGGAUAAUAUUUUGAACCGCAUGGUUCAAAAGUGAAAGACGGUCUUGCUUUCACUUAUAGAUGGAUCCGCGCUGCAUUAGCUAGUUGGUAAGGUAACGGCUUACCAAGGCAACGAUGCAUAGCCGACCUGAGAGGGUGAUCGGCCACACUGGAACUGAGACACGGUCCAGACUCCUACGGGAGGCAGCAGUAGGGAAUCUUCCGCAAUGGGCGAAAGCCUGACGGAGCAACGCCGCGGGAGUGAUGAAGGUCUUCGGAUCGUAAAACUCUGUUAUUAGGGAAGAACAUAUGUGUAAGUAACUGUGCACAUCUUGACGGUACCUAAUCAGAAAGCCACGGCUAACUACGUG